rnacentral:rRNA from 1 species
CUUCUGGCGCAGUGACGCCGCGUGGAGGAUGAAGGUUUUCGGAUCGUAAACUCCUGUCAAGAGGGAAGAAACCUAUUAAGAAUAAUACUCUUAGUAAUUGACGGUACCUCUAGAGGAAGCACCGGCUAAUUCAGUGCCAGCAGCCGCGGUAAUACUGAAGGUGCAAGCGUUAAUCGGAAUCACUGGGCGUAAAGCGCUCGUAGGUGGCUUUGUAAGUCAGAUGUGAAAGCCCACGGCUCAACCGUGGAAUUGCAUUUGAUACUGCAUCGCUAGAGUAUAGGAGAGGGAAGUGGAAUUUCUGGUGUAGGAGUGAAAUCCGUAGAGAUCAGAAGGAACACCGGUGGCGAAGGCGACUUCCUGGACUAUUACUGACACUGAGGAGCGAAAGCGUGGGGAGCAAACAGGAUUAGAUACCCUGGUAGUCCACGCCGUAAACGAUGGGUACUAAGUGUCGGAGGCUUGACCUUCGGUGCUGUAGUUAACGCGUUAAGUACCCCGCCUGGGAGAGNNNNCCGCAAGGCUGAAACUA